GUGAAUCAUCGAAUUUUUGAACGCAAAUUGCACUCCUUUGUGAGAGUAUGCCUGUUUGAGGGUGAGCCUAUAAAAAAUCGACAUCGUUGCUGUUUCGCGGUGGCGCUUGUCGGCAACUGGGUCAUCUUAAAUCUUCUGGAUGUAAGCGACUUAAAAUUUUCUUUUUGGUUCCAUGAACGUAUCUAAGAUUUUUUUCUUUACACGUUUAAGGUAUCGAUUCUUAUUAGACGUGACUAUCAUAUCGUCUCGCGCGCAUAAU
rnacentral:misc_RNA from 1 species